rnacentral:rRNA from 1 species
UACGGAGGGUGCGAGCGUUGUCCGGAAUCACUGGGCGUAAAGGGCGCGUAGGCGGCCUGAUAAGUAGGGGGUGAAAUCCUGCGGCUUAACCGCGGGGCUGCCUUCUAAACUGUCAGGCUAGAGCACAGUAGAGGCAGGUGGAAUUCCCGGUGCAGCGGUGGAAUGCGUAGAGAUCGGGAAGAACAUCAGUGGCGAAGGCGGCCUGCUGGGCUGUUGCUGACGCUGAGGCGCGACAGCGUGGGGAGCAAACAGG